rnacentral:rRNA from 1 species
GGCGAGUGGCGAACGGGUGAGUAAUGUAUCGGAACGUGCCUAGUAGCGGGGGAUAACUACGCGAAAGCGUAGCUAAUACCGCAUACGCCCUACGGGGGAAAGCAGGGGAUCGCAAGACCUUGCACUAUUGGAGCGGCCGAUAUCGGAUUAGCUAGUUGGUGGGGUAACGGCUCACCAAGGCGACGAUCCGUAGCUGGUUUGAGAGGACGACCAGCCACACUGGGACUGAGACACGGCCCAGACUCCUACGGGAGGCAGCAGUGGGGAAUUUUGGACAAUGGGGGAAACCCUGAUCCAGCCAUCCCGCGUGUGCGAUGAAGGCCUUCGGGUUGUAAAGCACUUUUGGCAGGAAAGAAACGUCCUGGGCUAAUACCCCGUGAAACUGACGGUACCUGCAGAAUAAGCACCGGCUAACUACGUGCCAGCAGCCGCGGUAAUACGUAGGGUGCAAGCGUUAAUCGGAAUUACUGGGCGUAAAGCGUGCGCAGGCGGUUCGGAAAGAAAGAUGUGAAAUCCCAGAGCUUAACUUUGGAACUGCAUUUUUAACUACCGAGCUAGAGUGUGUCAGAGGGAGGUGGAAUUCCGCGUGUAGCAGUGAAAUGCGUAGAUAUGCGGAGGAACACCGAUGGCGAAGGCAGCCUCCUGGGAUAACACUGACGCU